UACGUAGGUGGCGAGCGUUGUCCGGAUUUACUGGGCGUAAAGGGUGCGUAGGUGGCGCUGUAAGUCGGGUGUGAAAUUUCGGAGCUUAACUCCGAAACUGCAUUCGAUACUGCGGUGCUUGAGGACUGGAGAGGAGACUGGAAUUCAUGGUGUAGCGGUGAAAUGCGCAGAUAUCAGGAGGAACACCGGUGGCGAAGGCGGAUCUCUGGGCCUUACCUGACGCUCAGGCGCGAAAGCUAGGGGAGCGAACUGG
rnacentral:rRNA from 1 species